rnacentral:rRNA from 1 species
UACGUAGGGUGCUAGCGUUGUCCGGAUUUAUUGGGCGUAAAGGGCUCGUAGGCGGCGUGUCGCGUCGGGAGUGAAAGCCCGUUGCUUAACGGCGGGUUGGCUUUCGGUACGGGCAGGCUAGAGUUCGGUAGGGGAGACUGGAAUUCCUGGUGUAGCGGUGAAAUGCGCAGAUAUCAGGAGGAACACCGGUGGCGAAGGCGGGUCUCUGGGCCGAUACUGACGCUGAGGAGCGAAAGCGUGGGGAGCGAACAGG